rnacentral:lncRNA from 1 species
UUUGAGGAAGUCGAGAGCUGUAAGGAAAGCCAGGAACAGGGGCAAGGGAGAGAUGCGUCCCGAAUGAUCCUGUGCCAAUUCUUUCUGGAAUCUUUUAUGUGAUCUCAGAUGCCCUUUCCAUACUUCUGAUGAUUCUGUUUCUAAUUUUUCCAGUACACGCCAUACUAUUUUCCCUGUUCCUUCAUGGUUUUACAUUCCCUCCAAUCACAUUCGAGCAUUCCUACUUCCCUCUAGUUUCACCAAUGCUUGUUUGUUUAUCAUAUCCAUCCUAAUGUGUGGUAUCACAUUAUUGGUUUGAUUUGUGCUUCCCUAUGAUUAGUGAUUUGAACAUCACUUUAGAUGUUUAUUGGCCAUUGCUAUAUCUUCUUUAGGGACACGUCUACUCGAAUCUUCUGACCAUUGUUAAUGGGAUGCUUUGGGUUUCUUGUUGUUUAGUUUUGGCUGUUCUUUAUAUAUGAGGGAUAUCAGCCUCUUUUCAGAUAUAUGAUUUGCAAAUAUUUUUCCUAAUCCACGGGUUAUCUUUUCACUCAGUUCACAGUGUUUUUUGAUGCACAAAAGUGUCUGUCAUUUAGAUGUAAUCCAAGGAAUCUAAUUUUCUUUUGUUGCCUAUGCUUUUGGUGUCACAUCCCAGAAAGCAUUGCCCAAUCUGAUGUCAUGAAAGUGUGGCCAAUGUUUUCUUUUAGG